rnacentral:rRNA from 1 species
UCGUUGUUUCCGAUGAUGGUGCAAUACAGGUGAUCGGACCGGUGGCUGUUUCAGCUGCUAGAAAGUUCACCGAUAUUUCUUCAAUAGAGGAAGCAA